rnacentral:tRNA from 1 species
GGGGUUGUGGCUCAGUGGGGGAGCGCGCCUAGCAUGCAACGAGGCCCUGGGUUCGAUCCUCAGCACCACA